rnacentral:snRNA from 10 species
GGAUGUGAGGGCCAUCUGGCUGUGACAUCUGUCACCCCAUUGAUCAUCAGGGUUGAUUCAACUGAUCUGGCUGGCCAGGCAGGUGUCCCCUUCAUCCCUCUCCACUCCAUGUGCAUCCCUCCCAAAGCUGCAUGCUCAGUUGACGAGCAUGACCGUCCCCGAUACAGGAGGACCAGUCUUCAGUCAAGGGUAUAUGAGUAGCACCCCUGCUGGAACCUCCAAACAAGAUCAAGAGAAGCUACAUUCUGAAAGACCUCAUGGAGAAGUUGUAACCUGUAACUUGGUACCAUAAAAAUUUGAAUGAUCCACUGCAUUGUUGUAGUUUGACCCUGC